UUCAACCUAUUAUGCUUCAGGCUUGAGAAGAAAGUGAACACCUUAAUCAACAACAAUUCAAAUAUGUUUUUGGUGAAAAAUACAUAAUUCUAUUUAGUAUGUGGAACACAUUCUUUGAACUCAUGUUAGAUAGUACUUUUAUCUCUUUAAUAUCAAAUAAGCAACAAUGAAAACUCAAUACAAAAAUAGAACACCCAAACAUGAAAUUUCAGGAAUGCAUAUUUUAUCAAACACAUUCCAAGGUGAAUAUUUUUUUAACUGCUCCAUGAAGUUGACAAAAAAAAUAACAUAAUUAGCAUCUAGGAUUAUAAUUUAAAUUUUCCAAGCAGCUCAGUAAUAUCCUGGAAAUUUUAUUUAAAUUUUGCAGACAGCUCAGUAAUAUGUUCAGAAUUUUAUUUUUGUGUCCUCUGUAUAACCGAGCAGCAGGAUCCAGGCUCAGUGAGGAUUGGUGCUUCCUGUGGACCACGCACUGGGACCUCAUGAGAAAGAUGUUUUCACCACAAUUGGCAUGAUAACAAAGAGAUUCAUUCUGAUUUCGAAUGAUCAAACCAACUGUGGGUUUCAUCAACAUGAUACACUUCAAUAACAGUCUUUUCCAGGAUAUCGUGAAAUGCUUUGAAUAACAUCAGGCAAU